CAGUCGCCACGGUAAUACGUAGGUGGCAAGCGUUGUCCGGAAUUAUUGGGCGUAAAGGGCUCGCAGGCGGUUUCUUAAGUCUGAUGUGAAAGCCCCCGGCUCAACCGGGGAGGGUCAUUGGAAACUGGGAAACUUGAGUGCAGAAGAGGAGGGUGGAAUUCCACGUGUAGCGGUGAAAUGCGUAGAGAUGUGGAGGAACACCAGUGGCGAAGGCGACUCUCUGGUCUGUAACUGACGCUGAGGAGCGAAAGCGUGGGGAGCGAACAGGAUUAGAUACCCCCGUAGUCCCUGUCUCUUAUAC
rnacentral:rRNA from 1 species